CAAAGCUGGUCAAGUUAUGAUGUACUAUAGAGGUGGCCCAAAGUGCCACAAUCACUGACAAAAUAUGCUUGGAUGAAGCAAGGCUUGGUGUACACAAGGGACUCACCAUCCCCACCCCAGGCCCUGAGGGUCCUAGAAUUUGUACUGAUAUUUUGUUUGUGAUCUCAAAAUUAAAGAUUGCCUGAAGUUCAGAGUGCAGAGCUAAGCCACUAGUUAGCUAUAGAGGCCGGGCAGUGGAAGCCCACACCUUUCAUCUCAGUACUUGGGAGACUGAAGACAAAAGAUCAAUGUGAGUUCAAGGUCAUCCUGGGCUACAGGAGUUUUUCUAAAAGAGAAAUAGAGCUCACACAGAGGUGAUCCCAGCACAGUCAUUUUGGGAUCACAAGACAUUAAUCCCAGCACUAGGGAGGUGGAGGCAGGGUGAUGUGACUGGGUGGAGAAAGGAAUAUAAGGCAGGAGGAGACAGGAGCUCAGGGCAGUCUGAGGCAUUUUGAGAAGGCAUUCGGUCUGAGAAGUUAUAGACACAGGAUAUCCAUAAGGUCUGAGGAUUUCAUACAGCACCAUCUUCCUAGGUCUUCUCCAAUGGGAUUGAUUCUGCCAGUCGUUGUGGGGGCUGUAGCAGCAAUAUAUGUUUGGAAAAAGAUAAGAGGAAACAAACUGAAAAAAGGCGAUGCCACUCCUCAAGGAAAAGAUCCUGAUGGCAAACGAAGGACUGAAAGUAAAAGACAAUGUGAAAAGAAAUGCUGAAGGCUUGGAUCUCAUCAGUUGCUCUGAAAGGCUUCGAUUCUAUGACAGUUGACAGUGAUGGAGUUCACAAGGAAAGCCCCUCGUCUUUGACUUCUGAUUGGUGAAAAUUGUAACUGUAACUUUACAACAAAUGUUUGUGCUUCUAAAUAUUUGUGCUUUUAAACCCUGCUUCUUCCCCUGCUCAGGGCUGCCAGAAAAAGCAAGGCUCCUGAGUUCUUGUCCUGCAGCCCUGAUUGACCACUGGCCCGCUUAAAUGGUGAUUUAUUAAAGUCUUUGGA